rnacentral:rRNA from 1 species
AUAUCCCGAAGGCGAUGGUUGUGCUUGCUUGUCUUGCGCUCUCACUGCUCUGACGGAUGCUUUUAUUAGACCAAACUGCUGAGGACUUGAGGGUUCGCCUUCUUGUCUGACUCGUAUAAUGGUGACUCUGGAUAACCUUCUGACAAGCGCACGUACUUCUCUUCUGAGCGAGACGGCGCUGCCACUUUCGAGUGUCUGCCUUAUCAGCUAUCAACCGUUCGUUAUGCGCGACCGAUGGCUUUGACGGGUAACGGGGAAUCAGGGUUCGAUUCCGGAGAGGCAGCCUGAGAGACGGCUACCACGUCCAAGGACGGCAGCAGGCACGCAAAUUACCCAAUCCCAGCAAAUGGGGGAGGUAGUGACGAAAUCUAACGAUGCGGGCGCCCUUUCUGGGGCCCCGCAAUCGGAAUGGGCACUUUCUAAACAACCUGUUGAGAACCUACUGAAGGGCAAGUCUGGUGCCAGCAGCCGCGGUAAUUCCAGCUUCAGCAGCAUCUAUUAAAGUUGCUGCGGUUAAAAGGCUCGCAGUUGAAUGUCUGUAUCGAGCGCAGGUCAGGUGGACGUUGGGGCGUGGAAGUACGGGCUGUUGGAUGUUCGGAGGGCCUUCGUGCUCAACGGCUCCUUCGGCUUUUCCACACACCCCCGUCCGUGACAAGCCUCCUCGCUCGGGUACAUAACGGGAAUCGGUCAAACGGAGUGUGCUCGGAGGUCGUGGUGCGUGGCCUCGGUUGCGUGUCUCUUCUUUCGGGUGCGUUAAGCUCCAUCGGUUUCACGGUCACCUUGAGUAAAUCAGAGUGCUCAAAGCAGUCGUAGGGGCCUUGCGCCCUGUGAACAGUCUUGACGGACUGACUUGGUUUUGCAUGGCAUGUCGGAAGACGACGUCGUGUGCUGGCUCAGAGGAUAAAUCAGUGGUACAAGCCAGCCUCGACGUAAUGAUUAAAAGGGACGGUCGAGGGCAUUGGUAUUGCGAGGCGAGAGGUGAAAUUCUGUGACCCCCGCAAGACCUCCUGAAGCGAAAGCGUCUGCCAAGGACGUUUUCAUUAAUCAUGAACGAAAGUUAGAGGAUCGAAGGCGAUCAGAUACCGCCCUAGUUCUAACCCUAAACGAUGCCAACCAUCAAUCCGCGCGUAGCACCCUUCUUAACGGGCUCGGCGGGCAGCUCCCCACUCACGGGAAACCAGAGCCUCUGGGUUCCGGGGGGAGUCUGGUUGCAAAGCUGAAACUUAAAGGAAUUGACGGAAAGGCACCACCAGGCGUGGAGCCUGCGGCUUAAUUUGACUCAACACGGGCCAUCUCACCAGGCCAGCACUCUUGUACGAUUGACAGAUUGAGAGCUCUUUCUCGAU